rnacentral:rRNA from 1 species
AAACUAUAGAGACCGCUGUUCUUCUUUAAACCAGAGGAAGGAUACGGCAAUAACAGGUCUGUGAUGCCCUCAGAUGUUCCGGGCUGCACACGUGCUACAAUGAUCAUUGCACUGUGCAUCUAACCCAAUGUGCGCGGACGCCGCCGUGCGUAUAUACUUUAUUGUGUAUGCGUAUCGUGCGUGCGACCGCGCCGAACCUGCUUCGAAAGUAAACAUUUCCAGCGGGUAAUCCAUUAGAAGUAAUGACUCGCAUAGACCAUGGCACACUAUAUGUACCCGCGGGUUCUACCCGGCUCGCCUUUGUGUGAGUGCAGUGCGUAGCUCGUUGUUUGGUACGUGCCACUCCGUAUUAAUUCAUACGUGGGGAUAGAUCAUUGUUUAAUUGUUGGUCUCGGUCUUAACUAGGAAUGCCUUGUACGGGUCUUUGGUUCAACAUACCACCCGGAAUACGUCCCUGCCCUUUGUACACACCGCCCGUCGCUCUUACCGAUGGAUUAUACUAUGAAUCUAUAGGACUGCCAAAGUUGCUCUUCGCGGCGCGCUUAGUGGAAAUAUAUAUGAAUAGUGGAUCUAAAGAA